AUGAUGUCACGCGGCAGGACAGUAAUAACCGCCCGCCAGGGAAGAGGCGCGCCGUGCGCCGGGGGAGCGGGCGCUCUGGACGGGCCCGGGGUGACGGCCUCCCCGCGCCAGGGGUUCGAGCCCCUACUGGGGCCCCGGGGGCGGGGUGGGGGGCUCUGUUGGGCAGGCCAUGGCAGCAAGGGUCAGGGACCUCAAGGGUCCUGGGGUCAGCGGCAUCGUGAGGUCACACAGCGCCACGCGGGACCGUCUUCUCUUCAUGGACACAGAAAAGAUGUGAUGGCGCCAAAGGUCCUGACGGCAGAAAGGAAGACAAACACCAGAAACUGCAUCACAGUGAACAUCGAAGCAGGAGCCACAUCAGAAUAGAUACAAGGAGGGGCCGCCAGGGGCCCAGGGUGUGACCCCCGGGUCCCGGGAUCGAGUCCCGCAUCAGGGUCCCCGCAGGGAGCCUGCUUCUCCCUCUGCCUGGGUCUCUGCCUCUCUCUGUGUCUCAUGGAUAAAUGCAUAAAUAAAAUAUUAAAGAGAAAGAAUGAAUACAAGGAGUGGAAUCCAGUGAUGGGGACGCUGUAGCCCAACCUGAGGAAUUCCGAUGCCCAUGUGCACGCGGCCACGCCGUCGGCCCGGAGUGGACAGGACGCCAUCGCAAAGGUGACGGUUUCCCUAGAUUUAUCUGUAGAUUCAGAUCCACGCCGACAACAUCCCGGGGGCGGGGAAGCUGACAACACGGGGACGGAGAGACCGACUUCACCAGCGGCUUCGGAAAGGGACGUGGGGAACAGAAAGCCCAGAGUGGGGCAGACGUGCGUGCGGAGCCAACAGGGGCGCAGUCUCUAGAACCUUCUCCCCGCCGGGGGUGGAGUGGCAGGCGCAGGUGCAGGGAACAGGACACCGUGAGGCGUGAGAGGGCGGGUCCUGCACGGGCCCGGGACGCCACGCGUGUGGCCCGGGGAGCUGGCCCCGCAGCUCUCUGAGGGAAGCUCGGCUUCGCUGGCACGGAGGCCCACGCAGAAGUUCAAUUUGUCUCCGCCUCGCACAGCAACCAGGCUGGGUGGACGCGAGGCCUGCGUGAGGAGACAUCCAGGGACCGUGCAGGGGACCGUCUGAACGACCCCGCGGUAGGAAAAGCUUCCGUAAACACGAGCCCCGAGAGCACCAGCCGCCCGUGACAAGGUUGACGACAUCAUCGACUUAAAACGGCCCCGUGCUUCGGAAGACACCGCGCAGCCGAGACACGGUCACGCGCACGCCCGUGGGAGAGGUGAGAGCCAGCUCGCAAGGCAGGCGCCUGCUGAGCCCUGAGCCGCGCCGAGUCCACGAGAGCACGGAGGGGCCCACAGACGUGGCCGCACGUCCCCCCGCGGGCAGCGCAGGUGUGGGCCCCGGCCCACCGAGUCGCGGGGUGGUGCGGGCUCCCGAGGGGUGCAGAGCACGCGGGCAGCCCUGGAGGCUACCCAGGGGUCCGCCGGCGGCUCGUCGGGCAGCGCACACCGUGGGGUAGGGGCGCCGUCACCCCCGCCCGCGGGAAGGGACCUCAGACAGUGCUCGGGGAAGGAGUCCGUCCCAGACUCGCGGGCGAAGCGGUUCUCCUUGGAGGGAGGUCAGGCGGGCGGCACUUAUUUCGGGAGCCGCUAAAGGGAAGUGGGGAUCCAGCUGCUCCGCUUCCGGGCACACGUCCCCAAGAACGUGAGGCGGUGUGUCACACGCGGUCGACCGCAGCAUCGCUCACGGUGAGCAGGACACGGAGCAGGUGUCCGUCAGCAGAGGGUGGACAACCCAGCCCCAGGGAGGCGUCUGACACCUGCCACCACCUGGGUGGACCCGACGACGUCCUGCGCAGUGGGACCGGCCAGGCGCAGGGACAGACCCUGCCCGAGUCCACUCACACGAGGGCCUAAUGUCACAUUCAUGGGGACGGAGUGGAUGGUGGGCAUCGGGCCUGGCGGGGGGCGUGCGUGUUUCCUGGGCCCAGUGCGCCAGUUGGGAAAGGUGGGAAGGUUCCAGAGAUGGGUGGGGGGACGCCGUGCACCACGUGGUGAUGUCACUGCACCGUGUGCUUAAAAAUGGCUAAGAUGUCAAUCGUGUGUUAUGUGUAUUUUACCACAUUUUUUCAGUUGACGGGAAAAAAGAAAGUGGGGAGUAAUGGUUAAAACAGGUGGAGGUUCUGUGUGGAGGGAGGGCCACAAUCUAGUCCCGGGUGUUUGACUCGUACUUACUUAGAAGCAUGUACUUCAGGGGCCCCCGGGGGGCUCAGCAGGUGAGCACCUGCCUCCGACCCAGGCCAUGACCCCGAGGUCCCGGGAUCGAGCUCUGCGUCGGGCUCCCUGCAUGGAGCCUGCUUCUCUCUCUGCCUCGGUCUUGGCCUCUCUCUCUGGGUCUCUCCUGAAUAAGUAAAUAAAAUUUAAAAGAAAAAAAAGAAAGCAGAUACUUGUACACCCUCGUGUGCGCCGGGACAUUCCAUGGUACACGGUGAGCAGAGCGGGAGCCCACCUUCGCCCUGCGGGAGGCUCUCUGCGGGCUCAGCGCACCGUGAGGUCUCGGGGAGGAAGACGCGGGGACCCAGAGCCGCCUCCUGCCGGGUGCGAGCCCGGGGCUCCUGGGCCGACGGCAGCUGGACCCUCGGCUGCGGACUUGUGAUCUCAAAGGUGGAAGAUUUGCUAGUUUCUCGGAUUUUUGUGAGGCAGUGACAGCGGCCGACACGCAGGAGC
rnacentral:lncRNA from 1 species